AAGGAAAAAGCAGGUUAAGAGUCAUUCACACACAGAAUGAUACACUCUAACAGCCUCUGAGACAGCGCCACUCCUCCUUCACCAAGGAUAUAUUAACUCAUAUUGAGAGAGGAAAAUACGGAAAAAAAAGCAGGCAGCAGACCUACAGACAAUGGAUCCCCUCCCAAUCUACUGAGGCUGCAGGGAAGCACUGACGGAUUUCCAGUAAGGAAGUGCCUCUCAUCCUGGGAUUUUUAUUGCUGGUGUAUUUAUAGUGUAGGCGGUGGUGGUGGUACAGUGUCAUCAUCUGGACUGGAUUAUUUUGGGGGGCUACCCUCCUCUUAUGGAGGGGGCCAGGGAAGCAUGUGCUGCAGCCCCCCAGCUUGGAGGCUGGCCGGUGUGUGUUAUACCUUCUCCUGCCCUGAGACAGCACCAGCUGUGCCCCCGCUGCACCUGGAUCCUGGGGACCACCUAAAGAACGGUGACAUUCUGUUUUAGAAUCCUGGGCGUGUUCCAAUGGAACCCUGGCGGACUAGCCAGGCACCAGCAGUGAUCUCGGACUAGCAUGAUGCACAGACGCUGAUUUGAAACCCCUCCCCAGGGUAAAAAUGAUGGCAUCAAAGGAUGGUGGCAUGGACAGCUGUGACCUGAAGACGGCCAGGCUGUGGAGGGACGCGGCUCUGAGGUCCAGGAAGCUGAGGAGCAGCCUCCGCCAGCUGACACUGAGUUGUGGGGAGCAGAGCAAGCUCACCUUACCUGAGAACCUGUCUGAUGUGGAGGUGCUCAAUUUGGGCAACAACUCUCUGGAGGAGGUGCCUGAUGGCUUGCAGAGCCUGGCUGAGGGCAACCUGCACGUCCUGAUUUUGCGCAGAAACAAGUUCCUCAGUGUCCCAUCGGCGGUGUAUGAGCUGGGCAGGCUGACUGAGUUGGACAUCAGCCACAACCGGCUCACUUGCCUGACUGAGGCGGUGGGGCUGCUGAGCCAGUUGAAGAAGCUCUGCCUCAGCCACAACCAGCUCCAAACGUUACCCAAGGUGAUGGGUGGGCUGCUCCACCUGGAGGAGCUGGACGUCAGCUUCAACCGCAUCAGCUACCUACCUGACACCAUGCAAGGGCUCCCCCGUCUCAGGACCCUGGACCUAGACCACAAUGAGCUGUGCCACUUCCCUCAGCAGCUCCUGCACCUGCCCACCCUGGAGGAGCUGGACUUCUCUGGCAACAAAAUGCUAGGUAGCAACUGUGGUGGUUCUCUUCCAGAGGACAUACGAGUUAUGAAGUCUCUCAAAGUCUUAUGGCUGAGCAGCACUGGGCUUUGCACUUUGCCCUACUCAUUUUGUGACCUUGUGAGCUUGGAAAGUCUCAUGCUGGACAAUAACCAUCUCGACUCCUUGCCUGCAGGUUUUGGGUCCCUGCAGAAGCUCAGGAUGAUCAACCUGUCUUCAAACUCCUUCCAGGACUUCCCCAACGCCCUCUUGCAGCUCCUGGAGCUGGAGGAGCUGUACAUAAGCCGUAACAACUUAAGUGUGGUUCCUGAGGAGAUAGCUAGAUUGUUCAGACUGGUGACCUUGUGGUUGGACAACAACAAGAUUAGGUAUCUACCAGACUCUAUUGUGAAUCUCAGUUUAUUGGAGGAGCUUGUGUUGCAAGGUAACCAAAUAGCAAUACUUCCAGAAAACUUUGGGAAGCUCUCCAAAGUGAAUAUCUGGAAGAUCAAAGACAACCCUUUGAUACAGCCUCCUUAUGAGGUAUGCAUGAAAGGAAUUCCUUACAUUGCUGCUUAUCAAAAAGAACUUGCCCAUUCUCAGCCUGCUGUGAGGCCAAGGUUAAAGUUGGUCUUCAUGGGCCUGAAGAAUGCAGGUAAGACUAUUCUUAGGAAUUGUUUGACUGAGGGUCAGCAAGUCACCCCCAUUGUGGGAAAUAAAGGAAUUGAAGUUACAAACUGGACUGCUGAUGCUGAGAGGAGACUCACUUUUAUAGUGUAUGACUUAGCCGGGGACCAGAGCUAUGAUAUCAUUAAACCAUUUUUCCUUUCCCCUGGUGCUUUGUACAUUUUAGUGGUUAAUUUAAAGUCCUACAUUUCCAAUAAUUUUUAUACCUACAUUGGUUACUUUUUACAUUUUAUCAGUGCCAAGGUACCACAUGCAGUUGUCUGCAUAGUUGGAACUCAUGCAGAUUUAUGCGACGAGACAGAAAUGGAGGAGAAAUGUCUGGAUAUACAUCAUCAAAUAUCCUUACAGGAAAAGAGGGACUCUGAGACUCUGCACAAUAUAGCUGAAAUUGUUGACGAAGCUUUGUGUCAGGACUAUGAUAUGCGUGCCUCAAACCCCCAUGCAGCUUUUUACGGUGUUAACGAUAAAAAUCUGAGGAGGAAGAAAGCUAAUUUUCAAUAUCUAAUGAACAAUCGUCUUCAGAUCCUUUCGCCUGUGCUUUGCGUUAGCUGCCACGACUAUUCGAAUAUCAGGCGGUUGAGGGAGAAGCUCUUGUCUGUCGCAGAACACCGUGAAAUCUUUCCGAACUUGCAUCGUGUUCUUCCGAAAUCCUGGCAAAUGUUAGAAGAAUUGCACUUUAAACCUCAGGAGCUCUGGCUGACCUGGUGGGACUCGGCCAGAUUGGGCCUACAAGCAGGGCUUACCGAAGACCGACUGCAGAGCGCCCUAUCCUAUUUACACGAAAGUGGGAAACUACUUUAUUUUGAAGAUAACACUACUCUUAAAGAGUACGUUUUUCAUAAUUUGACAAAACUGAUUGACAUUUUGAAUGUCUUUUUCCAGAGGGAUGCUUCGGUUCUAUUGCAGAAACUAGCUUGUGACAACAAAACUGAUGAUCUGAGGUCUACACAGCUUCUUCAUUAUGUGGAAGGGUUUCUUCUUCAUGGUUUGUUGCCUAAUCACAUUCUAAAGAUGUUACUUAAACCGCAUAUCAAAACGCAUCAGGACUUGCAGCUUAUCUUAGAACUUUUAGAAAAGAUGGGCCUCUGUUAUUGUAUCAACAAACCCAAAACCAAACCGUUGAAUGGGGUCACUGCUUGGUACAAGUUUCCAUGCUAUGUGAAGAAUGAGGUGCCUCAUGCGGAGGCCUGGAUCAAUGGUACAAACCUGUCUGGACAGUCGCUGGCUGUGGAACAGCUGCAGAUAGAAUACAGUUUUCCAUUUAUUUUCCCACCUGGAUUAUUUGCCCGAUUUAGCGUUCAAAUUAACAACCACAUAGUGCAACGUUCAGAUGGUAAAUUUCAGAUCUUUGCCUACAGGGGAAAAGUACCGGUGGUGGUGAGUUUUCGACCAGCUACAGGAGCCUUACAGUCAGACAUAUUGUCUAUUUCUAGUCAUGCUUCGUUGCCCAAUAUAUGGACAGCAUGGCAGGCUAUAACACCACUGGUUGAAGAACUCAAUGCGUUGCUACAAGAAUGGCCAGGCCUUUACUACACAGUGCAUGUUCUUUGUUCUAAGUGCCUUAAGAGAGGAUCACCCACUCCACACACCUUCCCAGGAGAGUUACUGACUCAGCCACGGCCAGAAGGAGUAACAGAAAUAAUCUGCCCCAAGAAUGGCAGCGAACGAGUGAACGUAGCCCUGGUGUAUCCCCCGACCCCAACAGUAAUCAGCCCCUGUUCCAAGUGAUAUCUUCAACGCCCUGCUUAUCCACUGCAGUAUUUAUGAACUAUUGAAAAUUAUGGAAUAUUUAAAUUUAGACAAUCGCUAACUACCCAAAAACAAGGACAGAGACCCAUUUGGUAUUUUAAAACAGAAGAGAAAACGUAAUUAUUUGGGAGGUGGAAAGAUAACUGCAAAACUUCAAGGAUAACAAAGUAUAGGAAUUCAUCGCUGCAAAUGGAUCGGGGAGGAAGAAAAUUAUAAAAAGCACUUGUUUGAAGAGCACGAACAACAUUUUUGUGCAGACGUGUCUUUCGAGGGACAGACUUUUUUUAAUGGGCAUGAAAUGUGUGUUCCUGAUAAAAAUGGGGGAUAAAUAUUGCAAUUCUAUUUAAAACUAAGAUUUCUUGUAUGGAUGGACUGCAAGUGCAAAAACUGCUAAUAAAUGGCUAUGGUAUCUCAGGGAUUUUGCUUGCCAUGCACAUUUAAGCCAUACUAUGUAAAAAAAAAAUGGUUGUAUUGUGAAAAAGCAGCUUUUUCAAAUUUAAAAGAAAAAUUAAUUCACUGAAGUUCACCGCUUUUCAUCUUGAAUAAAAUGGUCAUUCUUUUCAUAACAUGUGUACCCACGAAAAGCACACCAAUUUUCUACAUUUCAAAAUAUGUUUUGGUUCUAAAAAUCUGCAUGAAAAUACUGUAUUGUUUUAAAUUUUACUACCCAGUAAGGUGAUGGUGGCAGAAUAUUUUCAAAUCAUACCAAAUAUUCUUUGUAGCACAGUAAAAAUACAACCAUAUUUCCUGUGACAAAUCUGGACCAUUUCUGACACUGUAAUCUUUUUCGAACCAAUCAGAUCGUUCGUGUGUUUCAGUCAUCAUUCCAAACAAUGUAGUUGUUUGUAGACUGAUGGAAAAUUGUGUCUACCGAAUCAAAUUCCUUUUAAUCCCCCCCAAAAAUCAAUUCGUCCUGGAUUUACCUACCGAGUAUUAUUCAUUGAAUAAGACUCCACUGUUAAAUCCUAGUCAGAUAAAUUAGUUCGGGUGUGGAUACAAGGGGAUUUGAUUUGGAAGAAUUGGCUCGAACACACUUUUGCACAAGUCUAGUAGCUGAUCGAGACAUCCCUUGAUAAAGAUGGCUGUGUAGGUUAUGUUGAAACAGUGUUGUCCACCUCUUUGGGCAAAUUGGUCACCAAUUAAAUACUAAUAAGACAAACUUUUUUUUAUCUCUUGUGUAAUUGAAUAAAAUCUAUGGGAUCUCCCUUGUUGGCUGAGGGUCAUAUAAAGUCCCUUUCCUGGCCAAAAGUAUUUUAAUGGUGUAAUAUAAACACAUUGUGCACCAAAACUCCCUCACCCUAUGU